rnacentral:rRNA from 1 species
CGACAAGCGGUGGAGCAUGUGGUUUAAUUCGAUGAUACGCGAGGAACCUUACCUGGGCUCAAAUGUAUGUUGACGUAUUCUGAAAGGGAUACUUCUUCGGACAAUAUACAAGGUGCUGCAUGGUUGUCGUCAGCUCGUGCCGUGAGGUGUCGGGUUAAGUCCCAUAACGAGCGCAACCCCUAUCAUUAGUUGCCAUCAGGUCAAGCUGGGGACUCUAAUGAAACUGCCUACGCAAGUAGUGAGGAAGGUGGGGAUGACGUCAAAUCAGCACGGCCCUUACGUCCAGGGCUACACACGUGCUACAAUGGCCGGUACAAAGGGCAGCCACCCCGCGAGGGGGCGCGAAUCCCGAAAGCCGGUCCCAGUUCGGAUCGGAGUCUGCAACCCGACUCCGUGAAGCUGGAUUCGCUAGUAAUCGCGCAUCAGCCACGGCGCGGUGAAUACGUUCCCGGGCCUU